rnacentral:rRNA from 1 species
GACGAGCGCUGGCGGCGUGCUUAACACAUGCAAGUCGAACGGAAAGGCCCUGCGCUUGUGGGGUGCUCGAUAGGCGAACGGGGGUGUAACACGCGAGUAACCUGCCCUUGUAUUUGGGAUAAAUCCAGGAAACUGGGGCGAAUACCGGGUAGAAUCUCCUGCAGCGCGGGGUUGGUUGGAGAGUGUCGGCGUUUGUGGAUGGACUGGAUGGUUACGAGCUUGAUUGGCGGGUAGUUGCGUUCCAGGCCUUUGACGGGUAGCCGGCCUGAGAGGUGGACCGGCCACAUUGGGACUGCGAGACGGCCCAGACUGCUACGGGAGGCAGCAGUGGAGAAUAUUGCGCAAUGGGCGGACGUCUGAUGCAGCAAUGCUGCGAGCGGGAUGCUGGCCUUCGGGUUGUAAACAGAUUUGGCAUGUGACGAAGACUGAGUGACGGUAAUGGGUCAAGAAGCACCGGCUAACUACGUG